UUACAUCGCAACGUUAAUAGUGUUGUGAGGUUUAGUGGAAUUAUGAAUAAUUUUAAUUUGUUUUCUUUCUGGAUUUACAAUAUUGUUGUGGUUUUCCGUGAAAGCAAAGGACAGCGUAUGUGACGAGUGAAAAAAAAGAAGAACUACAUAAUCGCAGAAAACUUCAAAUGAGUCCACAAAAAGAAAACUCGUUGCAAGAUAAAUGGUAUCUUAUGGCUAUUCCAAGCUAGGGCCUGUGGACCCCAACUUGAGGACGAAAAUCAGCGGUUUCGGAUUGCCCUUCGAUUUUGACGCAUGUGCAAUAAGCAAAGGACAAUCUCAAACCGGGUACAAUAUCAAACCGUCACACCGGCCAACUCGACCACUGCUCCACCAAGGCCAAGGCCUCUCUCCACUCUAAGUACAAGAAUGUCGGUGGCGUACGUGGAUUGCUUGCGAAGAGACAUCUGUUUUGUGGGAGCUGGGAAGACUCGAGACUCGGUACAAAGGGUGCUGGCGUCUUUAACGCCGCACGGACCCGCAUAGCAAACUUAACCUCCGAACCAAGGUGCAUACGUGAAUAUUAACACAAAAGUAAGUCUCUACUUCGCGCUAAACGAUUGUUUUACACCGAGAUGACAGACGAAAAGGCUUUGCUGGUACGAGUGGGAUAGAGUGAAACGGUAUAGAGUAGGCCAACACACGAUUUGUUUAAGUGUUUUAUAGACCUGAUAUAAAUGAAACUAGUAUACACUA